AUCGCGGACCGGGCCCCUCUGGCGCGCUAUCCUUGGCGCGUGAUGUCGGACCGCAUCG
rfam:Sphingobium sp. EP60837 chromosome 2, complete sequence.